UUCCCCUUGGAUAUAAAAUAAAAUAAAAUUUAUUUUGGUCUCACUUGAACACUUAAUCAUAAGUAUCUAUCAUGAACUAUUUUUUUGCACACACGUCUGCGAGGGCAUUUGCAACUACAAAAUUUGACAAAAUUCUUCUAUCCUGUAUGCCUUGAUGGAUGUCAAUACCCUGUUCCAAAGCUCCCAUUUUGGCACGGGCUAGGAGGAUGCUGGCAAAGGUUGCAGACACUGGCUUCACACCUGUCAAUGAUUUUUGGUUGCAAGUUUCUAAAGCCUUCUCAACAAAUCCAUUUUGUUAAUGCCCUGCAAUCGAGGCGUUGAGUACAUAUUUCUUCGAGGCAUUGUGUAAAACAGUUCACGUGCAUUGUCUAUGCUUCCACAUUUUAUAUAUCCUGCGAUCAUGGCAUUCUGUCAAAACAAUUCUUGGAAGUAUUAUGUCAAACAGUUCACAUUCCUUCUCUACGCUUUGAAUUUUUUGCAUAUACGUCUGCCAGGGCAGUUGCAGCUACAUCUAACAAAAUUCCUAUGUAGUUUUUCUUGUAAUGGAAGUUAAUACCCUGUUCCAAAGCUCCCAUUUUGGCUCAGACUGAGAGGAUGCUGGCAAAAGUUGCGGGAUCUAGCUUUACACCUGCACAUGUGUUUGGAAGCUUCUAAAUCCUGUUCAACUAACGCGUUUUGUGCAUAUCCUACAAUCAUAGCAUUCCUUGAGACCGCAUUUCUCUGAGGUAUCCGGUCAACUCAGUUCACUGCCUUUUCUAUGCUUCCACAUUUUACAUACAUGUCUACCCAAGCAUUUCUGAGUGUAAUAUUUGAUAAUAUUCUCGCUUCCAUUACGCUUUGAUGGGCAUCCUUACCUUGUUCCAAAGCUCUUAAAGUCACUAUUGCAGUAACCGUUUGCGUAGCCGUUCUGCUUCAGAAACCUUGCGCGACUUUUUGUUUUAUGCAUCAAACGCCGAACUCCCGCGCAGGAACACUUCGAAUUCGAAAUUAAUGGUGACUGUUGGUUUAACAGGAACGGAAACGGGUGUUGGCGAAAAGAAUGGGCUCACAUUUGCCACAUAAGUAGUCAAAGUACCUUAGUGUGUGCUGUUUAAGGGCAGCCCAUUUUUAAAAGAGAAAAGGAAAAUAAAAGCCCUGGUAAACUAUGAAAAGAGAAUUAUCAAUCCCUUGGCUGGACGAGUAAAAAUAACUUAAAAAGGUUUUGUUCGGAGUCAAAUGUUGCAGCAGCAAUGACUUCACUUAGCAGAAAACUCUUUUUUCUUAUUCUGCACUUUCUGGACGAGGAGAAAUUCAAGGAAAGUUGUUCACACUCGGAGCAGGGGGUGUGUGAUGAGGUUUAGACGUGCCUUUCUGGUUUCACCAAAGCUGAUGAGAAUCGAUAUUCGAUGAAGAUAUUUUUUGAAAUAAGGAAGCAGAAAUACUUAGAAGCAUUGGAUAAGUAAGUUCUAUGUCUCUGAAAUUAUUAUUUUAAUUAAUGUUCAUUGGAUGUAUGGGAUGACUGAUCCGAAUUUUGGAUUCAGAUGACAACACCUGCGGUAUUGUAAAUUCUGUUACAAGAACCAGAAAUCAUAGAAUUGAAGCAAGCCAAAAAGUAAUCUAUUUCAUUUGAAAACCCAACAUAUAGAAGUUCAUGAGAUUCUAAGAGUCACAAAAAAAACCUCUUGAGAAUCGAAGUCCAACAGUCACAUUUGUUCAUUACAUAAUAAAAUUUAAAAACUACGAAAUUUUCAAAAAAAACUAUAUGAAAUUUUAUCUUAACUUCAACUAGACAUAACUUUCUGCUCAGGACUUGAAAUUACGAGCCAUUGAUCUUGUUGGAAAGGUCUCCAAGAGUUGUAGACACAAAUUUGAAAUAGCAUACGCUUGCUAUGCUCUUUCAAGGACUAAAAAUGUCCUUAAGACCUUCAAAAAUGCAAAUUACUAACAUAUAGAGAAACUAAAGUAAAAAAAAUAUAAUUCAAAUUUUCUUCUGAUCAAUGACAAAAGAAAGCACUUACAGUGUGAACUAAAUGUUUGCAAAUUGAAUGCUUUUAACUACAGAAUUAUUCAGCAAAACUUUGGCAGAAAUACCAUGUAGUGUACUUACUUUUUGAAAAAUCCGAAAGCCUCUGAUCCCUGUUAUAUGUAUUGAUAGUCAAAAACAGGAAUAGUCGAGCUCCCAGAUUAUUUUAGGUUGAGCUUAUUUGUCUUAUUCCAUUGGAAAAUAAAUUUAUUUUUGUGAAGUAUACUUGAUAAAUGAAUCCAAUGUGGAAUGAUGAGCCAGAGGUGAAUGCUCAUGAUGCUGAGAUAAUUAAAUAAGUUCAAUGUUUUGACAAUUUGCAAUUUACAAGGUAUAUAUAUCUAGAUACAGUUGUUUAUGCUGAAAAUAAAUAUUAUCUAGCAUAUGUUUGUGAUUACUUUAGCAGGAGAAGGGCCUUAAAUCCUCACAAAACAUCAAAAUAGAGAGUUAUAAAACAGUUCUGGCAUCACACAAAACAGCAAAAUAGAGAGCUACAAAACAACUCUGACAUCACAUAGUGAUACGUGCAAACAAAACACAGAAACUGGCCUUUAGAAGUAAUAAAUGUUGAAGUAUUGUAGCUGCGAGAGAGAUUUUCAUUGCAAUGUUCUUUAUUUAUCUCUUCUUGUAUCGGUUCAAUAGCUUCCGGUUUCUUGUCUUGAUCGCUUUGAUAACUGAAGGUGACCCUUCAUGUUGCUGUGACUGUUGGUGAAGAUGAUGUGGCUGCCAGUAUAUUUGUGGCUGUCGGUGUAUAGGUGGCUGUGGGUGCAGAUGUAACUGUCCGUGCCUUUCCCUCUUCCUUCAUGUGUCUCCUUACUGGCAUUCCUGAUACUUUAUAAUUUAUAUUCAUCGUUCUUUCUUUUCGUGUUUGCUCUUCUUCGACAGAUUGUUUAUUGUAUGCAGGUACUUGAGCAAGUUAAUAAGCUGAGGAGUUUGAAAAUCAUUGGUGUUCUGAUUUUUCAUUUAAAUGUUGUGAAGUCUGAGUAUCAGUUCAUAUUCUGAGAAGUCUAAAUCCUCAUUAUUGUUUAAGGUUUAAAGGCAGAUUGUUGAAGUGUGUUGUAGAAGUGAAAUGUACUUAUUUUGAAGUAUCUCAGACUGUUUGAUAGCAAGCAGUAGCUAUCAUUAUUUGUACUGGUGAUGAAAUCUCAAUAAAGGUUUUUAUUUUGUGGGCUGGGUUUUUCACCCUCAGGUGGAGGGUUUUCCAGGACACAUUCUUUAA